UGCAAGUCGAGCGGANGANGGGAGCUUGCUCCUUGAUUCAGCGGCGGACGGGUGAGUAAUGCCUAGGAAUCUGCCUGGUAGUGGGGGACAACGUUUCGAAAGGAACGCUAAUACCGCAUACGUCCUACGGGAGAAAGCAGGGGACCUUCGGGCCUUGCGCUAUCAGAUGAGCCUAGGUCGGAUUAGCUAGUUGGUGGGGUAAUGGCUCACCAAGGCGACGAUCCGUAACUGGUCUGAGAGGAUGAUCAGUCACACUGGAACUGAGACACGGUCCAGACUCCUACGGGAGGCAGCAGUGGGGAAUAUUGGACAAUGGGCGAAAGCCUGAUCCAGCCAUGCCGCGUGUGUGAAGAAGGUCUUCGGAUUGUAAAGCACUUUAAGUUGGGAGGAAGGGCAGUAAGCUAAUACCUUGCUGUUUUGACGUUACCGACAGAAUAAGCACCGGCUAACUCUGUGCCAGCAGCCGCGGUAAUACAGAGGGUGCAAGCGUUAAUCGGAAUUACUGGGCGUAAAGCGCGCGUAGGUGGUUUGUUAAGUUGGAUGUGAAAGCCCCGGGCUCAACCUGGGAACUGCAUCCAAAACUGGCAAGCUAGAGUACGGUAGAGGGUGGUGGAAUUUCCUGUGUAGCGGUGAAAUGCGUAGAUAUAGGAAGGAACACCAGUGGCGAANGCGACCACCUGGACUGAUACUGACACUGAGGUGCGAAAGCGUGNGGAGCAAACAGGAUUAGAUACCCUGGUAGUCCACGCCGUAAACGAUGUCAACUAGCCGUUGGAAUCCUUGAGAUUUUAGUGGCGCAGCUAACGCAUUAAGUUGACCGCCUGGGGAGUANNNNCGCAAGGUUAAAACUCAAAUGAAUUGA
rnacentral:rRNA from 1 species